rnacentral:pre_miRNA from 1 species
GAGUGUGUGUGUGUGUGUGUGUGUGUGUGUGUGUGUGUGUGUGUGUGCGCGCACGUGCGCGUGCGCUACCCACACGCCCA